AAAGAAUUAGUUAAUCUUUUAUAACCUUAAAAUGUCAAUUUAAAAUAAUUUAAUAUUUAUUAAAUAUUCUUUA
rnacentral:tRNA from 2 species